rnacentral:sRNA from 1 species
AUGCAGGGAAGGAUGAGAAGCUUCGACUAAGGUUCGAUUCGAGCGUAGCGAGAAAGCGUUGCCGCAGGCAACGACCCGAAGGGUGAGGAGCAAAGCGACGAAUUAUCCUUCCCCCACCACCA